GGUGCGUCCCAAGCUGUUGUGCACCAAAUCACCCGGCUUAGAACAUUUUCCAUUUCAUCAACACCAUUGUUCGUGUAAGGACACCAAAUCACAGCAAACUGACGAAAUGCUGCCUUGACAACAAACAAGACGAACUCAGCAGUUGAACGAAGGAAAAAAAAACUGCUUAUUAGCACAAAUCCACUCAGACUUAACGUACUUGUUCCCUCCCUGGAAACAAUGAAGACGCCGAACUGUUAUACAGCAUUUCUUGGUAACAUGCUUUUAUUACAGACAUAGAACAAUUCAUAUGCUAGGAGGAAUAAGGAAAUUAUUAUGCAUGCCGUGUGCCAAUAGCAAUCCAAAGACAAUACUCAAAACGACUGUUAUCCAUUAUGUUUGUGGUGAAUUAUAUCGCUGCUUUUUUUUCAGUUUCACACACUGCCCCAGAAAAGUGUCGCAGAGCAUGACACUGCCUUGGAACCACCUGCCAGCCAGCCCCACACUGUGCAACAAGCCGACUCUGGAGAAGGCAGUUCAACUGCCAUAGCUCUUACCUUAGAGCAAACCACGUGGAAAACUUUGCGCAAGACAGCCAUGAGAACAGUGGCCAUUCAGACGACACUGGAAUGCCAUUCGAUUGGUAAGUUGACCAAACAAUUGAAAACAAAGCACAUCUGAAGCACGAAAUGUA